UUUCCACCAAAGUACAUAAAAAAAAAACAAUAUAAGUAGUCGCAUAUUUGACAUGGGUCGAGCACGAUUACUCGUCCAUCAGUGGAUCCGUACAUGUUCCGAUGCAGGUGGACAUUUAUGAAUACUGUUUGUUAUUUUCUUUUCAUAGUGUCUUUUACUCAGGUUUUCAGAUGAUCGGAUUUACGCAAUGUUUUUCAAAUUGGACCGGAUUUGGAGCUGUCCAGGUGUGUGUAUUAGAAUCGGAGUGGUUAAUCCAACAAAACCAGUGAAAAUCAGGCAACCCGAUUUAUAUUUUUAAAAAAAGAAAAAGAAAGUCAAGCUGGUGGGCAGUGGUGGAGUCGCGGCAACGAGUGGCGAAUGGAUAAGAAGGAAAGAAAGUUGGU